GAUGAAGAACGCAGCGAAAUGCGAUAAGUAAUGUGAAUUGCAGAAUUCAGUGAAUCAUCGAAUCUUUGAACGCACAUUGCGCCCCCUGGUAUUCCGGGGGGCAUGCCUGUCCGAGCGUCAUUACAACCCUCAAGCUCAGCUUGGUGUUGGGCCCCGCCGCCCCGGCGGGCCCUAAAGUCAGUGGCGGUGCCGUCCGGCUCCGAGCGUAGUAAUUCUUCUCGCUCUGGAGGUCCGGUCGUGUGCUCGCCAGCAACCCCCAAUUUUUUUCAGGUUGACCUCGGAUCAGGUAGGGAUACCCGCUGAACUUAAGCAUAUUAAUAAGCGGAGGA
rnacentral:misc_RNA from 1 species